CUGGGUAGCUACGUCGGGAAUAGAUAAGCGCUGAAAGCAUCUAAGUGCGAAACUAGCCACGAGAUGAGACUUCCUUAUAGGGCCGUAGUAGACUACUACGUUGAUAGGUUGCAGGUGUAAAGGUAGAAAUACCAUAGCUGAGCAAUACUAAUCACCCGAAGCUUUCUCAAG
rnacentral:rRNA from 1 species